rnacentral:lncRNA from 1 species
GCAAAAUGGCGGAGUUUAACUGGUGUAUGACCUUCUUCUGGAAACGCUAAGCUGUUCUCGGCCUCUGUGUUUUCAUUGUCCAACUGAAGAUUAGACAAGAGGCAGCAUGGGGUGGUGGAUAAAUCGUGGACCAGGAUUGAAGCGAAGAUCUGCUCAUCUGGGACACUCACCAGGUUGCAUUCCGUAGAAGCAGAUCCUGAUAAGAUGAUGAAGUGCACAUGUCUCUUGAGAAAAUGCUCUCAGGAGAAGGGGGGAAGGUAAGCCAGGUGCAGCAGAGGACUGAGCAAGGUUGGGGUCUCAGCUGGACACUUCUUGGACCUGUUCCCACGGGAGCUCUGGAGUAUGAACUGUACCACAGAAUUGUCUCACCUAGAGGUAAGGGGCCUGCCUUUUGUACCCUAUGCCAGUCAUGGAUUACAUGCUGCCCCUGGUGGGAAGGUGGGGAACCUCCCAAUGGCGAUUCUCUGAGGAGGGCAGCUGUGAUUUCCUUAGCAGACAACACUCUCAGCAGCUGGGAGAUGGGUGUAGCAACCACUCUCCAUGAGACCACCCAUUCUCACCCCCUCCAACAGCAAGCAUGCCUGAGCAGGUGGGUCCCAAGAUCUAUAUUCUCAGAAAAAUUGGGAAACUAAGCUUUAGUCUGCUAGCCUAAGCCACAUUUACAGCCUGAAGGGUAUGUUGUCCUUUCCCAGCGAUCACAAAAAGGAUGCUUUAUUUUCUGUUUGGCUUCUAGUUCUUUUGAACACAGAAAACUCUGUCCGGGACCCUGGAGGGGAGAAGCAAAGGGAGUUGGAGGGUUACCAAAACCUUUCUCUCAUUCCACAUUAGACACUGCCUGUAUGGAGAGAGGUGUGUGAUACAGAGAAGAGUCAAAGUGACUCAAAGUCUCAGCUGAGAGGUGCUACUAAUGGACAUCAGCUCCCACAAGCCGCUGCUGGAAACCCUCCCUGGCUUUGGACAGCACUUGGCUUAGAUUCCAAACUCUGCAUCCCAUCACCAAAGCCUCACCUCAUCUAAUCACUGGCCACCUCUCUAACCUCAUCUCCUCCCACUCUCCUGUUAUCAUGCUCCAGCAGCUCAGCAUCUUUUCUGUUUGGGGCCUUGGCUCUCUCAGGGCUUUGGUGCUUGCUGUUCCCUGCACCUGGAAUAGUUUCCUCCCUGGAGAAGCCAAUGUUGGUCACUCAGUCCAAAGAGGUCCACACCCCUAACCCAUCACCACCUAAACUAUCAUUUCCUGCUAUUUCUCUUCUUCAUUUAUUGCUUGUUUAUUGGAUUCUCUCACCCCUCUCUAAAAUGCAAGCUCCACGAGAACACAGAUAUUGGCUAAAUUACUUGUGGCUGUAACAUCAGUGACUACAAGUAGGAAGGUCAGGGAAGGGAGCUAUUUGAGAGUGAAGGAGGAGGAAGAAUCAUAUAUAAUAUUUGGUAGAAGCUGUGAUUGAUGUUCCAGUGAAAUAUGUGGAUGGAAAUGCCCAGGAGACAGCUAGAGAUGCCUGGCUAGACCCAAGAGAGUUUGAGCCUGGGAUACAUAUUUCGGAGUCCUUCCCAUAAAGCUAAUAGCUAAAGUCGAUAUGGAAGAGAAGACAGUGAAGAGCAGAGCCUUAGGCAACACCCACAUUCUGGAGAUUUAUUUUAUCAUGUUACCUAGAAUGUUCCUCCAUCUCCUAUUAAGCACCCCUCUCUCAAACUGAAGUUGCAGCUUAAGAAUUACUUGCCUCUUUCCCCACAUUUAUAAUCCCUGCCCCCUGUUGCAGAUGCAGAACAGCAACCCAAGUCCCUUCUGGAAGCAGCCCUCUCCCUCCUGGCAGCUGACAGAAGUCUCUCUGGCCAGGCCGGCCUUUUGGCUGCUCUGCAUAUGGAAGUUCAAUUACUGUCAAUGGGAGGCCCAUCGGCAGGGUGAGGGCAGAAUACACAAUGGAGAUCGGUGUACCAGAUAGGCGCCUAGAUCAAAGAAGAACCCAGAGUUUGUGAAGUCCUUUCAUCCUCCCUGAUGAAAGGGAGAAGCUUACUGCUGUUUUCAUGGCUCUGCAUGCCCGGGGAAAGAGGAAGGCCACAGGAAGGUGACAGCUGAGGCAGGGUAUAACAGCAGGUCCCCAGGGUGGGUCAUUCACUGGGCUGACAAUCCAGUUGAUGCUUGCUUGGGUUGGGGCUCUGUGCUAAUUUGGAUGCUGACAGCCAGGUGACAGCAGCAGAGGGAAAGUAAGCUGAGAAGCAGAGAGGGGGAACCUUGAAAUGAUGCCUCUAAACGAUGGUUGACUUGUUUGUGACAUCACACCCCUAAGGCAUAGCUCUUUCCCCUGGGAGGGAUGCUGAGUGGCAAGUAGGCAGGCUGGGUACAUUUCCUUUUGGGAUGUGGUAGCGACAGUGUCCUACAGAGUCAGACUGGUGGCUUUAACAUCACAGGGCUUUGUCCAGCUGGAUCCGGAUAUCCAUUUGUCUAGAUUCCAUUUUCUCUGCUUCCUUUUUUAUUCCAGUAGAUAUAGCAGGCUUUCUCCCUGUAGCCAUGCAGAAGAGAUACAACUCAGAGGUGAUUCCUCUCAAAGGACAUAUUAGAUUCUUGAAGAGAGUCUAACAGGUUUAAGUGGGUCAGAUGCCAUGACUCAACAGCUUCCCCUUGAUCCUUUAAUCUCACAUCUGAAGCAUAAGACCUAUCCAGGUUACUUGGGGCAGCACCACCAUUGUACCAUUAAGGCUUCUCUUUCAGAAGGAUGAAUAAUCCAUCUGCAGCACUAUUUUACACUCUAGUUCAAUUCAAGACUCUGAAUAUGAUUUAUAAGUGUGAGUGAUUAUUUUAAGAUCAACCAGGGUUAAGCCAGGGAAAUUCUGUCCUCUGGUAGGGAGCCUCAAUGACCAGACCACUGUAAAGCCCCAGGAAUGCCAAGAACUCUGAAGAAGAAAGAUUCACCUCUAAGUGAGUUGGAGGAGGCAAAGACAAAAAACAAAAAACAAACAGUACAGGCCUUAGACUAAGGAGUGUGGGAAUGAGUUUCACCUCCAUUUCCAGCAACUGCCACGCAUAGAGUCUCUUCCAAAAAUGCCGGUGGCCUCAAAGAAGAGACAGCUGCUUCCCCAGCCCCUCAUUCAUCACCUGCUUGCUGGCCUAGGACUGAUAAGACAGAUCCAGAUCAAAUUACCUGGCAGCUGGGAGAGCAAGGAGAUAAGGAAAGGCAAGCUUAGGAGAAGUUCAGUAGAGUAGCAAAGAUCAAAUUGUGUAUUAAAUUUUCCAGGAACUAAAACCUUGCUCCCUCUGCAAACCCAGGGGAGGCACCUCCAAUCAGUCAGCACCAAACAGUGUUCCCAGGAGAAAAGCAAUGCCUUCAGCUUCUACUAGGAAUUAAGAAAACAGAGUACUGAGACCAAUUUAUUAUCACGCAGUUGGAUGAUAGGAAAAUGAAAACAAAGGUUAGAGGUGAACAUUAUAGAGGAGCCGAGUGGCCAAUGGCCAGAGAAACUUCAGGCAACAGAAGGAACACUGGGCUGAGCAAAAGACUUGGAUUCUUGUUCUAGCUCCAUCUCUCUCCCUUUGAAAAUGCACUUGAACCCCUCUGGGCUUUAUUUUUUUUUAUUUAUUUAUUUAUUUAUUUAUUUAUUUAUUUAUUUAUUUAUUUAUAAAAUGGUGGGGUGAGGAUUUCUUCAAGCUAAGAUCUUCCUGGCUUGAAGCUCUUAAAAUUUCUUGUUACUGCAGUCUUCCUAAGACAUUCCAUCUGAUGGUUUAUUCUUUUGACUCUGCCAUUUUACUCAACUAAACCUCAAAAUUCUUGACUAUGGAAGCCUCCAGAGGUGUUGUUAAAGCUUUAACUCUUUCAUUAAAAGCCAUGUGACUUGCUUUAUCCAAUGGGAGGUUAGUAGAUGUGACACAAACAAAUGCUCGAAAGAGUACUUGCAUGUUUCCAUUUACGUUUCUGUUCUUGCCUUCUGUCAUCACCAUGACAACAUGCCCAGUCUGGCUCCUGGAGGAUGGGACACACAACGUGGGAACCGGCAAGUCACCAGAGUCAUCUCAGCCAAGAUCAACCAAUAGUCAAUUACCAGGAACGUGAGAGAAUUCUGAGACCAGGACUGCUCAGCCACCUCUGCCUAAAAUACCAACACACAGAACAGUAAAGUGAAUGGAUGUUUAUUAUCCUAAGCCACUAUAUUUUGAGAUUGUACCUCAUGCAGCACUAUUAUGACCAUAGGUGACUGAUAUAAAAAGUAAGGAAUUAUGAAUCAUAAGAAAAAGAUGAACCAAGGAAAGAAUCAGCUUUGAAGAGGUGGUAAACUAUGGGAGUUGGGUAUGCUUUUCUGCAAUGAUCUUGUCUUAUUUUCUUUUUUUUUAAAGGAAGGCCUACCUGAAUAAUUCUGUGCAGGAAGAUAAAAGCAAGAUUAGAGUGAGACCUAUUCAGGGAGGUGUCAUUUUGUGAGCAGUUCAUGACCAUACCCAAUAAUCAGGGUCUGUCUACAUAUCUGAAUUUUAAUCCUUACAUAUAUGGCCUUAGAUGAACUAAAAUAAUUAUAAGAAGUUGUGUCAUUGUAGACUUCUAUUAAUAAACAUAUACCUACAUAUAUACAUGUUUAUGCACAAGAAUCAGCCUGUAUAGGCAUAUUUACCUAGGCAUAUUCAUUGCAUAGUGCUCUCAUGGUUGUGACUUGGGUGGGUGUAGCAAAGUGACAGGCCAGGAUCUCACCACAUAGGAAGAACUUUGGUCUGGCCAAGACAGGGCCAGCUAGUGGCCUCCCUGCCAUUAGCUCUGUCUGCCACCCAAGACAGAAGAAGCCAACAGUCCAAAGGGACAUAGCAGCUUCAUUUUGGUUCUAGUUAGUGGUGCCAUAGAAGAGGAACAGGCAGAUAGGAUCUCAUCUAGGCCAUGAGACAAGCAAGAGUUCUCAAGAAGGGUAGACUCUUAGAAACAGGAGGCCAGUGAGACAUGGAUCUAAGAGGCAUAGCCAGGUAGAAGCAGCCCUAGUCAAUGGCUAGAAGUAUAAUAUCCCAAUAAAAGAGGCAUUCUUAGAAAGCUGGGCAGCAUCUCAGGACCACACAUGAUUGGGGAAAAGGGGUUGGUGAGGGGCAGACCCAGCCAGUUAGGCCUGUAGGUGCUGGGACAGGGUGGGGGAUGCAUUGUACCCACAGAAUAAAGCCAUAAGGGUGAAUAGCAAGAGCCACAUUGUGGAUCACCCUGGAGCAGGUGUCAGAGUGAAGCCUGACAUAUGGAAGCUCUAGGAACACAAUGGUAACCAGGGGAAUAGAGGAAGAAAGAGAGGUUUCAAGGCCUCAGUAAAGCUGAGACUCAGGAACAGCAGGUGUGCACAAGUGCUAAGUGGUCUGGAUUAAUUCACGAGCUGGGUGCCAAUGCCUGGCUCAGCUUCUAUGGGCUCCUGGAGGAUCCUUAAGAGGUGAUAAAGUUCAGGUAAAGACAGUGGACUGGGACCAGGCAGAGCCUGGGAUCCUGGGGUCAUAUCCAGCCCAUUACCAAAUCCUGUCAAUUAAACUUCCAAAAUGUCUCUGAGAUCUGCCUGGGGCUCUCAGCAUCUUUCCCACCAUUGUCUCUUGUCUUGAUUUAGGCAGUGGUCCUUACUUGUCUUCCUGUACGGCUGCCAGAGGGGAAUUUUAAAUAUAUAGUUUGGAUUGCAUCAUUCUCCCUGUUUAAAACCCUCCAAGGCUUUCUGGAUUCUUUCCCAAUAGUUUCAAACACUUUACUCUGAGCGUCUUUGUCCCAUGCAUGCCAUUCUCCCCCUUUCUUGCAGCUGCAGACACAGUGACCAGGCCUUGGUUGUAUGAUGCCUCCAGCUCGUUUCUAAGUUAGGACCUUCGCUUUUGCUCUUCCCUUUACCUGUAGGCUCUUUCUCCCGCUCCUCAUGGGGCUGCCUCUUUCUCUUCAUUCA